UCUCGCAGCUGUUGAUCGCUGCAACGGUACAUAUGUAUCACUGACUACGCGUCUCGCACCUGUCCAAGUUGAAUGCCCCAAAGCAGAAUCGGCGCCGCAUUUGCUUUGUGCUCGGACAGUAACUGCGCAUUUCCAUUGAAGCAGUAAUGUGGUUCGCUUGUAUCAUGCCUGCCAGACAGAUACGAUGUAUAAAAUGCAACGCUACUUCAACUCUGUUCAGAUGUCAGACCCUCUCUUAGAUUGCUUUGUCUGUUGUUGUUGUGCGUGGGGCGCGUCGUUCACCUCUGUAAAACACCCCCACAUGCUGUGGCAGCAACAGAAAGGCACACAUACAUAUGUACAUACGUACAUGCACACCAGUUUAUUUAGUUGUCUAUGUUUCGGGUUUUUAAGUUGUGUUGUUGCUCUCAUUUGCUGUUAAAUGGUGGCAAGCGAGUUUUUCACCACGGCUGCUUUCUGCGCUGUUGGUGACUAAUUGUUGUUAUUGCUAAAUUUUGACUUUGCUCAAUAAACAAUGUUUUGUUUUUUUUUUUUUU